AUACGAGGGGGGCAAGCGUUGUCCGGAUUUAUUGGGUGUAAAGGGCCUGUAGGCGGGCCGAACAGUCGGGAUUUAAAUCCUCCGGCUUAACCGGAGAACUGGUACCGAUACUGACGGCCUUGAGUGCGGCAGAGGGAAGCGGAAUUCCUGGUGUAGCGGUGAAAUGCGUAGAUAUCAGGAGGAACACCGAUGGCGAAGGCAGCUUCCUGGGCCGGCACUGACGCUGAGAGGCGAAAGCGUGGGUAGCAAACAGGAUUAGAAACCCCGGUAGUCC
rnacentral:rRNA from 1 species